rnacentral:lncRNA from 1 species
AGAUUGCGACCUGUCUGGGUUCCAGCACCUAAAACAGGCAAAACUGGGAGGAUGCAACCUUCUCUAUUCUGCACCAGAUAUGUCUUAGAGAGAACCCAUAUUAUCUGAAUGACCAAGGAGAACUAUGAGAAAAAAUGCAAACUCUGUGUCAGGCCAUUCGGUGUUUGGCUGGUGCCCUGGGGAGAACGUGCAUCCCAAGAAUAAUGAAGGAUGUCAAGCCUGCAGGCAAUGUCUUUCAGACUUGCCUCUUAGACCUAGAGUA